AGGGCUGAGGGGCACCCGCCACCCCGCGGGCCCGCCGCCCGCCGCCGCUUCCCUCCCGCUCCGCCGGCCCGGCGGCUCCUCCUCUCAGCGCGAAACGGCACGGUGACAUUCCUCAUCGGUCCUGCCUCCCUGGAGCUCAGACUUCGCAUUAGACUGCACCAAAAUGUUCCCUUGCAGGGAAGGAUUUUGCAUCCUGGGAGCAGCUAUGUGAUGCAUACAGCUUACGCAGUGCUCUGUUCAAGCUCACGGGCAAUGACAAGUUAGUGUAAGAAACCAUGGCUGGGAAGAGAGAAACCGAAACAGGGGUGGUUACAGGGCCUGCUUCUGCCUUCAGAGAAGGGAGAAAAAAGCCAACAGCACUCUGAAGGGUUAUAACUGGAACAGAAAAAGGGCUUUGGUUUUAGCGUUUGGGAUUCAGCCUUGCAUUAUAAUGGUUACCAGCAGCUUAAUUUUCUUUUUUAUGGUCAUCCUGGUUUCCUGGCUGCAUGGCACUUCCACCGGGCCACUGCUCUUAAUAAUUUAACCUUUUAUGAGAUUGCUUUGAUUUGCAGUGUAGAUUGGAGCAAGAGUGAACAAGUAUGAUGUCACCCAUCGGCUACUAAACUCCUUUGUGCUACAGCAAAGGUCUCAGUUGCUUAAAACAUCAAGAGAAAGGUUUUUGGAGGGUUUUUUUUCCCAGCCAGCUAGCCAUUUUCUGAUUUUAGUUUUACUUAAGUGCAAAAUACCAUUCAGAUACUGUAACUGCCCGUGCUGAGCUGUGCAAAGGCUGUGCUGAGUCUGGGAUUCAAUGGUUGGCUUGUUUGCUUGCUGGAGUCCUAAGUCAUAGAAACAAGGUUGAAAAUAGAAUUAAAACCACAACUCAACAUGU